AACGAACGCUGGCGGCGUGCCUAACACAUGCAAGUCGAACGGGAAAACCCGCAAGGGUGAGUACAGUGGCGCACGGGUGCGUAACACGUGGGUAAUCUGCCCAGAAGCCCGGAAUAACUCCCCGAAAGGGAUGCUAAUGCCGGAUGAGACCACGGGGACUUCGGUUCCUGGGGGAAAAGUUGGACUCUGUAUACAAGCUAUCACUUCUGGAUGAGCCCGCGGCCCAUCAGCUAGUUGGCGGGGUAAUGGCCCACCAAGGCUACGACGGGUAGCUGGUCUGAGAGGACGAUCAGCCACACUGGAACUGAGACACGGUCCAGACGCCUACGGGAGGCAGCAGUGGGGAAUCUUGCGCAAUGGGCGAAAGCCUGACGCAGCAACGCCGCGUGUGUGAUGAAGGUCUUCGGAUCGUAAAGCACUGUCGGGAGGGACGAAUAAGGGCCGGGUGAACAAUCCGGUUCGACGACGGUACCUCCAGAGGAAGCACCGGCUAACUCUGUGCCAGCCGCCGCAGUAAAAC
rnacentral:rRNA from 1 species